rnacentral:tRNA from 1 species
UAACAGAGCCUGGUUUCGAUCCGCAGACCUCUGGGUUAUGGGCCCAGCACGCUCCCACUGAGCCACUCUGCU